rnacentral:rRNA from 1 species
UACAGAGGUCCCGAGCGUUGUUCGGAUUCAUUGGGCGUAAAGGGUGCGUAGGCGGCGGGGCAAGUCUGAUGUGAAAUCCCGGGGCUCAACCCCGGAACUGCAUUGGAUACUGCCUUGCUCGAGUACUGGAGAGGGAACUGGAAUUUACGGUGUAGCAGUGAAAUGCGUAGAGAUCGUAAGGAAGGCCAGUGGCGAAGGCGAGUUCCUGGACAGUUACUGACGCUGAGGCGCGAAAGCGUGGGGAGCAAACAGG